AAAAAAAUAAAAUUCAGAAAUAGAAAUUAGAAAUUAUUUGGGAAAUAAUGCAAUUGAUCCCAUAAUUUUUGGAUUAAAAAUGAAAGAGAUAUUGAUUUUUGAAAUAAAAAGGAAUUUAAGAAAAUAAAAAUAGAAAUUAGAAAUUGGAAAAAAUGAGAGCCCUUGGAUCUGAGCUCAAUAAUUGAGCUGGCAGAUCCAAGGAUCCAGAGGCACGCGCUCAUGGUAAUCCAC
rnacentral:lncRNA from 1 species